rnacentral:rRNA from 1 species
CCUACGGGUGGCAGCAGUGGGGAAUAUUGCACAAUGGGGGAAACCCUGAUGCAGCGAUGCCGCGUGGAGGAAGAAGGUUUUCGGAUUGUAAACUCCUUUUAUCAGGGACGAUAAUGACGGUACCUGAAGAAAAAGCAUCGACUAACUACGUGCCAGCAGCCGCGGUAAUACGGAGGAUGCGAGCGUUAUCCGGAUUUAUUGGGUUUAAAGGGUGCGUAGGCGGAAUGCCAAGUCAGCGGUAAAAUCGCGGGGCUCAACCUCGCUCCGCCGUUGAAACUGGCGUUCUUGAGUGGGCGAGAAGUAUGCGGAAUGCGUGGUGUAGCGGUGAAAUGCAUAGAUAUCACGCAGAACUCCGAUUGCGAAGGCAGCAUACCGGCGCCCAACUGACGCUGAAGCACGAAAGCGUGGGUAUCGAACAGGAUUAGAUACCCCUGUAGUC